rnacentral:rRNA from 1 species
UACAGAGGCCUCGAGCGUUAGGCGGAAUCACUGGGCUUAAAGCGUGUGUAGGCGGACGCCUAAGUGUCUUGUGAAAUCCCACGGCUCAACCGUGGAACUGCCUCGGAUACUGACGGCCUCGAGGGAGGUAGGGGCGUGCGGAACUGUGGGUGGAGCGGUGAAAUGCGUUGAUAUCCACAGGAACUCCGGUGGCGAAGGCGGCACGCUGGACCUCUUCUGACGCUGAGGCGCGAAAGCCAGGGGAGCAAACGGG